CCCCUCCAAAACCAGGGAAAAUGAGGCUUUGGCUCCACUUUGUUCUCAUUACAGCAGCUUUGGAAGGUGUCCGCUCGCAGGUCCAGCUGGUGGAGUCUGGAGGGGAUGUGAAGAAGCCCGGAGACUCUCUCCGCCUCUCCUGCAAAGCCUCCGGCUUCACUUUCAGCAGCUACGGGAUGAGCUGGGUCCGCCAGGCUCCCGGGAAGGGAUUAGAAUGGGUCGCUUAUAUCAGCAGCUGUGGGAAUCCUGUACGCUACCUCGAUUCAGUGAAAGGGCGAUUCACAAUCUCCAGGGAUAACUCCAAGAGUGAGCUGUAUCUGCAAAUGACCGUCCUGAAGCCCGAGGACACGGCCCGGUAUCACUGUGCGAGAGACACAGUGAGGGAAGCCGGUCUGAGCUCAGACAAAAGCCUUCCCCUGCAGUAA